GAGUUAAGCAGAUUGUUUGUUAAACACCUUUUUCUGCCCUGGAUAUUGCUUUGCAUUUUUUGCGGCUCCGUGAGCGUGCUAACUGAUGUCCAUUGUGAGACAUAAGUAAAAGCUAGAGAAACUGGCUGGAAACAAAGUCCUCUUCGCAUCUAUUGUUAAUUGACUGAGGGAGAGUGUGGCUUUAAUAUCAAGUAAGCUAUAUCUAAGAAAAUAUCAGUACUAUGAAAAUACUGAAUUUUUUUUUUUUUUAUAAUCAAUUGUGCGAGCCCAGCAAAAGUCGUUCAUGAUUACCGAUAACCUUCAUAUUUUGACUUUAUGGCGAUAUCAUGAUAAAAUAAGUUAUGUAUUAUAUCACUUUUAAUAAUUGAACGGGAACUGACUUGGAUCAAAUUUCAAGUGACAGGAGAAAUGUGAAAAACGCCACAAGUAAGAUUAGGUGAUAUAUAUAUUUUUUGCCACUAGAUUGAACAUAACCCCUGUAGUAUUAUUUUGCGUAGGGUUAUAUUUAGGCUCCUAAGCCUGACAGUGUUACGAUUCUUGCAGUGUGUUAUACCAGCGCCGUGGAAGAGAAACUACUGCGUAAUAUUCUAAAAGACUACAACAGAAAAGCUCGCCCUGUACUCAAGGAAUCAGAUGUGGUUCAUAUUUCCAUGGACAUCGCAUUGCCGCAGUUGAUGAAAAUAGUGAGUAACCAAAUUGCCUAUUCUGCCUCUUACGUUCUGUUGCUUACAUUCUUUUGUAUUUGUAUUUAUUUUGUUAUCUCUGUGGGUUAUGGUAAUAAACAUAUCCAUAGAGGUCCCCCCGGAGAGUCUCUGAAGGCAAGAGAACGUGGUGUUCUAAAAAUUUUUGGUAAGGCACUAUGAUCUACAUAGUCGCUUGGUUCCAGGGCCGCCUUUAAAAGGGCGAUCACUGCGCCCAACAACCAGCCUGUUUAAACACCGCCAAACUACGCAGGCUAUUUUGAGGACGGUUGGAUUUGAUUAUCCCAAGAGAGGAUGUCAUCCAUAUUUUUAUAUAUUAUUUCUGUCUUCAAACCCUCGGCGGCAUUUCUGAUAUUUCGCUGGACAAGCGUUGAUCAUUGCGUGAUUCACGGCGUGAUCCAUUGCGUGAUUCCUACAUCUCCCGGUUACUGAUGGGAAACACGUGGUGAAAACUUUGGAGCGGGAAUGGUCUGACACACUGGCAAACGGGGCCCAGAAAAUUUAUCAGCAAAUAUGGAGAUGUGUGCAAAGCAACUGUUUGAUAAGGAGUUUAAAGAAGAAUUGAUCCGUAACCUGAACGUGCUGAGGAAGUCAAGCAUUCUCUGUGAUAUAACUAUAAGAGCGGAAGGCAAAGACUUCGCGGCUCAUCGAUGUGUUUUGACCGCCGCUAGCCCUUACUUCCGAGCUCUGUUUACUUCGACCUUUAAAGAAAACGAAAAUAAUUUUGUGGAGCUCAAACAGGUUAAAUGUGCAGCUCUAAGCGAAGCUCUUCAAUUUAUGUACACUGGGACGGCGAAAGCCGAUUGUUCUAACGCUCAAGAUUUGGUAAUGGCGGCGGACUACUUGAUCUUACCAAGUUUAAAAUUGAAAGCUUCCGAAUUCCUGCAGGAAACCAUUAGUGCUUCAAAUUGUCUUGCUCUGGAAUCAUUUGCUGUACAGUUUAACUGUGAGUCGUUAAAGAAAGCUGCAGUAACCUACAAAGUAAAAAAUUUUGUCGCCGUCGUGAAAUCGGAUGAUUUCAAGUCUCUGGACUUUGACAAGGUUAAGGACCUAAUUUCUCGAGACGACAUAAUCGUAUCUAAAGAGGAAGAGGUUUAUGACGCAGUUAUUAUGUGGGUGAAAAACGACCUUUCAUCAAGAGAAUGUUGCUUCCCCGACCUGCUAAAAUGCGUGAGAAUUUUCUCGAUGUCGAAGUACAGUCUUCGAGAGAUUCUUUGUAAAGAAAAGCUCGUCCUAAAUAGCCUGCCUUGUACGACUAUUCUCUUCAAAGCCCUGGAUGCAUUUCUUUUCCCUGAUAGUUACCAAGUUUUGAUGCAAAGACCUCGCCUAUGCCUUAAACGGAAGGAGCUAGUAGUUGUCCUCACAGGUGGCCACAAUAUUGACAAUCUCAGACAAGAGCCAACCGAUGAGACAUUUGGAUUUGUUCUUUCCUCCAAGAAGUGGUUGAACCUGCCCAUGAUGCCCUGGCCUCGUACACGGCACGCUGCUGCAGUGUGUGGUGGUCAGCUGUUUGUGGUGGGUGGCAACUCAGAUGCCCCAUCUGCCCCUUUGUGUUACUUCAACCCUGGACAAAACAAGUGGUUUGCCAGUGAUAAGGCUCUGAAGGCAAUUCUGCACAGUUCUUUGGUUACCCACAAUGAGGAACUUUACAUGAUUGGUGGUGAGAUUGGAAAUGUGCCUAGAGUUAAAUGUACAAAGUAUAAUUACAAAGAUAACAAAUGGAAAGAGGUGUCACCAAUGAUACAUCCUCGCACUGCUCAUUGUGCAGUUGUCCUGGAUGAGCUCAUCUAUGUCAUGGCAGGUUGUGACGAUAAUGCCUGUCUUAAGAGUGUGGAGUGCUACACUCCUUCAAGUGAUGAAUGGAGCCAGAUUGCAGAUAUGAACAAUGCAAGAAAAUUUGCGGCUGCUGUUGCGGCCACUACUAGUGAGAAAAUAAUAGUCGUUGGAGGGUACGGUGACAUAGAUUGUGCUGCUGUUGUAGCAAAUAGUGAAAUUUUUGACAAGAGCUUGAAUCAGUGGAGUUUGGUUUCUGCUCCUAUUGUGCCACGUGCAGCAUGUGGCAUUGUCAGUGUUGAAGAUUAUGUCUAUGUGUUUGGGGGAGAAAGGGAAUCACCAUAUGAUGAUCUGGAUAGUGUGGAGUGUUAUGCUAUCCAAGAGGAUGCGUGGAGCCAAGUUGACUCCAUGCCAAAAAGGCUUAUCUGUCUUCAAGCUUCAUUGUUGCAGCUACCAGUGGAAUAUACGUAAACCAUUUUAAAUGAUAUAAUUUAUUAUCCAAGCAUUUCUGUUAUAUAUAUUUAUGUGCACAAUACCAGUAAUACUGAUGAUGUAGGAAAUUUUCACGGAAGAGACUGUUAAGUUAGAUACUGUAACCAGCCUUUGCGGCAAAAUCACAAGAAUUGAAUUAAUUGUCCUGUACUGUUGUGUAUUUACCAGGAUAUUUCAUGUAAUUCAUUGCAUACUAUCUGAUUUACACUUUGUUAAUGUAUCUCAAGGGUUAUUGAACCUGAUUAAUAUCGCACCCAAUUAUAUUCUUUAUGAUGUUCAAUAAAAAUAUUUGACUUAUACUUUACUGCUUUAUACCUAAUCAUGGUGUAUUGAUAAUUUCUGAUUUACGCUGUGCCAAUUUUUUUCCCCUAAGAUUUAACAAAUUUGAUUUUAAUGUUUAUCACAUUAGGAAGCAAUGUAUGAAUAAUAAUUAUUCCUAGGUUGUAAUCAACUGCUGUAGUAUUAUUUUACCAAUAAUCAAUAAUCAACGAGCCUUACGUAGUUAUUAUAGAGUUAUUGAGGAACAUUAAAUUUGUUCAAUUUAGUUUAGCCAUGACUAAAGUAAAGUGAUAUUGAAGUGAAUAAAUAAAAACAUUAAAAAACAACAAGAACACCACAUAGAGACCUUGAACUUGAAAAAAACAAACAAACAAUAUGCGGUGAAAAUUAAUUCAAAUGUCAUUCAUGAUCAUUCUUAUUCACUCAAUUGUAACUGCUUUGUGGACAAUAAUGAGAGAUUGAUUGUCAAAGCUGUUUUUACUUGUUUGUUUGGUUAUUUAUACUUAUGUUUUCCAUCUGGCUUGCUUAUAGUUUUAUCAAAAAUAAAAAAUAACAUAUAAUUUGAACACUUGAGGACAGCUAUAAAGAAUGCACCAAAUUGCCUAUCAUGCACACAAAGCUAUUGGACAAUUCAUUAAACUUUUUUUGGUUUAGGGACAUUCUCAUUGUUAACUUAAUAAUUAGUCAAAUGUAGGUAUUCAAUAACACAACGAACUUUGAUCUCAAAUUAAGCAGCCUCAACAUCGUAGAAAUGAAAAACUUGAGGGAAAAAAUUGUCUAGUUUAAAGGGUCAUCGACUGCCAUGCUUUUCAUAAAAAUCAUCAUCAUCAUUAUUAUUUUUAUUAUUUUUUUCCCUGUGGUUUUACAAAGUCUAUACACUUGCGUUGUCAUCAUAGAUAGGAUGUCACUGAGGAGAAUGUACAGGGAGUCAUUAACACCCGCAAUUUAUCAUAUCUUUCUCGUCCCUCCAAAAGAACGUAGGCGGGUUAAUUAUAGUUCACAGAAGGUUUUACACUGAUCUUCUUUAUUCCAGGAUGAAAAAGAAGAAGUCAUAACCACAAACGUAUGGGUGAGGCAGUAUUGGAAUGAUCCCAGGUUUUCUUGGAAUAAAACUGAGUAUGA
rnacentral:misc_RNA from 1 species